rnacentral:tRNA from 1 species
GGAGGAUUCGCAUAGUGGCCUAGUGCGCACGCUUGGAAAGCGUGUUGGGGGAAACCCCUCCGGGGUUCAAAUCCCCGAUUCUCCG